rnacentral:rRNA from 1 species
UGGAACGAGUGGCGGACGGGUGAGUAACACGUGGGUAACCUGCCCUUAAGUGGGGGAAAACUUUUGGAAACAAAUGCUAAUACCGCAUAGAUCCAAGAACCGCAUGGUUCUUGGCUGAAAGAUGGCGUAAGCUAUCGCUUUUGGAUGGACCCGCGGCGUAUUAGCUAGUUGGUGAGGUAAUGGCUCACCAAGGCAAUGAUACGUAGCCAAACUGAGAGGUUGAUCGGCCACAUUGGGACUGAAACACGGCCCAAACUCCUACGGGAGGCACCAGUAGGGAAUCUUCCACAAUGAACGCAAGUCUGAUGGAGCAACGCCGCGUGAGUGAAAAAGGCUUUCGGGUCGUAAAACUCUGUUGUUGAAAAAAAAUGGUCGGCAAAGUAACUGUUGUCGGCGUGACGGUAUCCAACCAAAAAGCCACGGCAAACUACGUGCCACCACCCGCGGUAAUACAUAGGUAGC